CUGACCUGCCCAAUGAGUAAUUGAAUGGCCGCAGUAUUUUGACUGUGCAAAGGUAGMAWAAUCAUUAGUUUUUUAAUUUAAAGCUGGAAUGAAAGGUUGGACAAAAAAAUAGCUGUCUCUUUAUAAUUUAAAAAAAAAUUUAUUUUUAAGUUAAAAAGCUUAAAUAAUUUUAAAAGACGAGAAGACCCUAUAGAGUUUUAUAUAUUUUUUAGUUAAUUAUUUUUAGUAUUAUUAAUAUUUAAUUUUUAAAUAUAUUUUAUUGGGGUGAUAGAAAAAUUUAAUAAACUUUUUUUUUAUAAAAACAUAAAUUUAUGAAUUAUUGAUCCUUAAAUUAUUAAGACUAUAAGAUUAAAUUACCUUAGGGAUAACAGCGUAAUUUUUUUUGAGAGUUCUAAUCGAUAAAAAAGUUUGCGACCUCGAU
rnacentral:rRNA from 1 species